CCAGCAACGCCGCGUGGAGGAUGAAGGUCUUCGGAUCGUAAACUCCUGUCAGACGGGACGAACGGUCGUCGGUAAAUAAUCCGGCGACCUUGACGGUACCGUCAGAGGAAGCCCCCGGCUAACUCCGUGCCAGCAGCCGCGGUAAUACGGAGGGGCGAGCGUUAUUCGGAAUUAUUGGGCUAAAGGGCGCGUAGGCGGCUUUGUAAAGUCAAAAGGUGAAAUCCCUCGGGCUCAACCGAGGAAUUGCCUUUGAAACUGCAAGGCUUGAGGCCGGGAGAGGGUAGCGGAAUUCCCAGUGUAGCGGUGAAAUGCGUAGAUACUGGGAGGAACACCGGUGGCGAAGGCGGCUACCUGGACCGGUACUGACGCUGAUGCGCGAAAGCGUGGGGAGCAAACAGGAUUAGAUACCCUGGUAGUCCACGCUGUAAACGAUGGGUGCUCGGUGUCGCGGGUAUCGACCCCUGCGGUGCCUUAGCUAACGCGUUUAAGCACCCCGCCUGGGGAGUACGGUCGCAAGGCUG
rnacentral:rRNA from 1 species